GAUGAAGAACGUAGCGAAAUGCGAUACGUAAUGUGAAUUGCAAAUUCAGUGAAUCAUCGAGUCUUUGAACGCACAUUGCGCCCCCUGGUAUUCCGGGGGGCAUGCCUGUCCGAGCGUCAUUGCUGCCCUCAAGCACGGCUUGUGUGUUGGGCCCCGUCCUUCGAUCCCGGGGGACGGGCCCGAAAGGCAGCGGCGGCACCGCGUCCGGUCCUCGAGCGUAUGGGGCUUUGUCACCCGCUCUGUAGGCCCGGCCGGCGCUUGCCGAUCAACCCAAAUUUUUAUCCAGGUUGACCUCGGAUCAGGAAGGGAUACCCGCUGAACUUAAGCAUAUCAAUAAGCGGAGGA
rnacentral:misc_RNA from 1 species